rnacentral:rRNA from 1 species
AGUGAACGCUGGCGGUAGGCCUAACACAUGCAAGUCGAACGGCAGCACAGUAAGAGCUUGCUCUUACGGGUGGCGAGUGGCGGACGGGUGAGGAAUACAUCGGAAUCUACUUUUUCGUGGGGGAUAACGUAGGGAAACUUACGCUAAUACCGCAUACGACCUACGGGUGAAAGCAGGGGAUCUUCGGACCUUGCGCGAUUGAAUGAGCCGACGUCGGAUUAGCUAGUUGGCGGGGUAAAGGCCCACCAAGGCGACGAUCCGUAGCUGGUCUGAGAGGAUGGUCAGCCACACUGGAACUGAGACACGGUCCAGACUCCUACGGGAGGCAGCAGUGGGGAAUAUUGGACAAUGGGCGCAAGCCUGAUCCAGCCAUACCGCGUGGGUGAAGAAGGCCUUCGGGUUGUAAAGCCCUUUUGUUGGGAAAGAAAAGCAGCAGGUUAAUACCCCGCUGUUCUGACGGUACCCAAAGAAUAAGCACCGGCUAACUUCGUG